CCAUGUGUCUUGCUUCUCCCCAGAUUGCCCUCAGCCAUUAGUGGAAGUCACAAAGUCCAUAGAAGGCAGGACCUCAAUGGACAGGUGGUCCAGGUCGCCUGUGGUCAGGACCAUAGUCUGUUCCUAACGGAUAAAGGAGAAGUCUAUUCUGGUGGAUGGGGCGCAGCUGGGCAAACAGGGGACCCACAACUUCUAUCGCUUUGAUCUCCGUGAGGCUCUGCUGGGACGACGUGUGAAGCCCGCUCCCUUGGCAGAGAUCAUGGUCAGUUCCCACCCUGAAGCCUCAGUUCCAGAAUUUGCCAGAACGGCUUGGAUUUGGAGCACGAGUGCAUCAAUGCAGUGCAAGGGGUGGACUGUGGUUGACAGAGCUGAUGACCCACCCCCUCAGCCCAACUGCAGCUGCAGUUUCUGCACACUGACAGGUUCCCAGCUUCCCACCUCAGUGCCCGCACCCUCUGUCCUUCUCUGCUUCCCCUGACACACGUGGUGAAACAAGAUGUGCAGGUGAAUUCACACACCACGUCACUAGAGAUGGUAACUGAUGGGCUAAAUGUCCUAAGCUGUUUGUUCUCCAUGGGGCAGUCUGAGAUGGUUCCACCCUCUUUAAUGGAGGGUCUUCAGGAAGACUGAGUCUGAGUUGCCCUGAUGGUGACCUUCUCAUUAACAUACUCUUUAUUGGAUAUU